UACGGGGGGGGCAAGCGUUGUUCGGAAUUACUGGGCGUAAAGGGCUCGUAGGCGGCCAACUAAGUCCGACGUGAAAUCCCCAGGCUUAACCUGGGAACUGCGUCGGAUACUGGAUGGCUUGAAUCCGGGAGAGGGAUGCGGAAUUCCAGGUGUAGCGGUGAAAUGCGUAGAUAUCUGGAGGAACACCGGUGGCGAAGGCGGCAUCCUGGACCGGCAUUGACGCUGAGGAGCGAAAGCCAGGGGAGCGAAAUGGG
rnacentral:rRNA from 1 species